UAUCUCUCCGUACGGGGAAGGAUGAAGCUUCAUUAAGGUUCGAUUCGAGCGCGGCGAGAAAAGCGUGCCGCAGGCAACGACCGAAGGCGAAAACGCGCAGCGCUGAAUCAUCCUUCCCCACCACCA
rnacentral:sRNA from 1 species